rnacentral:rRNA from 1 species
AUAACCUUUUGGUUACGGAAACAAACAACAGGGAAACUUGUGCUAAUACCGGAUAAGACCCUUACGGGGAAAGAUUUAUCGCCGAAAGAUUGGCCCGCGUCUGAUUAGACUAGUUGGUGAGGUAACGGCUCACCAAGGCGACGAUCAGUAGCUGGUCUGAGAGGAUGAUCAGCCACAUUGGGACUGAGACACGGCCCAAACUCCUACGGGAGGCAGCAGUGGGGAAUAUUGGACAAUGGGCGACAAGCCUGAUCCAGCCAUGCCGCGUGAGUGAUGAAGGCCCUAGGGUUGUAAAGCUCUUUUGUGCGGGAAGAUAAUGACGGUACCGCAAGAAUAAGCCCCGGCUAAACUUCGUGCCCCAGCCGCGGUAAUACAAAGGGGGCUAGACGUUGCUCGGAAUCACCUGGGCGUAAAGGGUGCGUAGGCGGGUCUUU